rnacentral:rRNA from 1 species
GAUGAACGCUGGCGGCGUGCCUAAUACAUGCAAGUCGAGCGAACAGACGAGGAGCUUGCUCCUCUGACGUUAGCGGCGGACGGGUGAGUAACACGUGGAUAACCUACCUAUAAGACUGGGAUAACUUCGGGAAACCGGAGCUAAUACCGGAUAACAUGUUGAACCGCAUGGUUCAACAGUGAAAGACGGUUUUGCUGUCACUUAUAGAUGGAUCCGCGCCGCAUUAGCUAGUUGGUAAGGUAACGGCUUACCAAGGCAACGAUGCGUAGCCGACCUGAGAGGGUGAUCGGCCACACUGGAACUGAGACACGGUCCAGACUCCUACGGGAGGCAGCAGUAGGGAAUCUUCCGCAAUGGGCGAAAGCCUGUCGGAGCAACGCCGCGUGAGUGAAGAAGGUCUUCGGAUCGUAAAACUCUGUUAUUAGGGAAGAACAAAUGUGUAAGUAACUAUGCACGUCUUGACGGUACCUAAUCAGAAAGCCACGGCUAACUACGUG